UCUAAAUUUUUUUAUUUUCUUACAUUCUUGCAUCUCAUUUCUAUACUUUGCUUAAAUCACUUACUACAUAUAACUUGCUUAUUAUUACUUAAUCCUUAUGGUUCUAAAUUAAUUUUAAAAUUUUAAAAAUCUAAUUCACCCUCCCUCUUGGGUUGCAUAGCUGGACAACAAGUGGUAUCAGAGCUCGGUGCUCUAGUCCUACUUUGAUUUAACCAUCAAAGAGCUAAAAAUCUAUGGCAACUCAAGUUGG
rnacentral:lncRNA from 1 species